UCCGAAUAUUUUUUUGCCGGUGUUUGUGGGAUGAUAAUUUCAGCCCUCCCUCAUUUGGCCAUCUACCACACAGUGGAUUAAAAAGUGAGUGAUAGUGGUAGAAUUAAAUUCAAAUAUUAAAAAAGAAACAGUUGGACCACCAGAUUCUAAAAUAGAAAGAAAAGAUAUUUAAGAAAGUGAAAUAAGUGGAAUGUUAAUUGGUGCCAACAAUUUUGGAUAAAGAAACCCAGCAAACAACAAGAAAAGUUUGAUUCCCGGCGGCCCGAAUUAAAUUAUGGAGAGCGGGGCCGCCGCCCAAAAAAAAAAAAAACAAAAAAAUUUGAAAUUUAAUAAAAAUUCAAACAAAUUUUGAAAUUGGAUAAAAUUCAAAAAAAUUUUGAAAGUGAACAAAAUUAAAAAUUGAACACAAAUUUGAAAUUAAAUAAAAUUUAAAAACUAAAACCCAAAGAAGAAAAAUUUGAAAUUAAAGGAAAUAAAAAACAAAAAUAACUUGAAAGAAAAGGAAAUUUAGACGGGAACCAAAUUGAAGGAGAAAAAAGCAAUCAAUUUAUAAAUUAUAUAAACAUAUGCGUACAUCUCCAUAUCAUACAUAUAUUUCUUCGUACCUAACCAGUGGAUCUUUUUGUGUUUGUGAUUGUCCUAUAUUUAAGUUUUUUUUUUGAAAUUUAACAAAUUAAUUUAUCGGCGUGGAAGUUAUUAUUUUUUUUGUUUAUUUCCAUAAUCUUGUUCUUUUUUUCGUCAUAUUUGAUUGUGAGGUGUGAAAAAAAAAGGUUGGUGUUAAUUUCGUGUUCGGUACCAUAAUUUUUUUGUUGUAUAGGGUCCUAAAAGAUACCUCCACAGAGCUCUUUAGGGGUAAGGAAUUAGGGCGCCGAUAAUCGUAUCCGCUUAACAAAAAAAGAAAAUACCACAAAGGGUUCUUCUACGUAAAGGUAGAAACCAAUAAAGACUUAGGACUACCAACCUGACUUUUUUGUUACCAGUUUUUUUUCUUGUUUUUUUGAUGUUAAUUUUUUUGUUAAUUUAUUUUGUUUGUAAAUCUGAUGAUUAAGCUGUCAAUUAAAUAAAAUUAAACUUCCGACAGAAACGCCGGAAAUAGAAAAAAACGUUUUUUUAUGUUUCGCCCAAGCGAAACGAUGAGAGCUUAAGUCUUUUUUUUUCAGGGGUGUCAAGGGUAGCGGAGUAGACGUGGAGUUAAGAUGACCUGAACCCGAUCAUCGACCAACAACAAUUUUGGGGGUAUCCAAAACUGGCCACGGAUACCUAAAGGUAGGGUGGGUAAUGGCCUCACUGCACUAACAUCCGCAGUGCCCUGAUGUGCCAAUAGUCCGUCCGUAUAUGUUUCCUUUCUUUUCCUCAUUCCUUGGCCUGAUAUAUGUUUUUGUCUGCAGGCGAGGUUGAGUUUCAGGGGCAAGAUCCCCCCCCGUCCGACGAGCUGACGCCGUGCAUCGCAAGCAGGCCGCGUCCCCCGGAUCUCAACAAUCCCACCUAACCUAUUCCAACUCUUCCUAUCUCUUUUUCCUACCUCAUCCUUAUCCUACCCUUCCACUUCACCCACCUCCACACCUCC